AUGAAAUUAUCACAUCAACACCCUAAGCUAGCAGUCCAUCAAACAGGCGAUGAAGAAUUAACUUCUACAUGCAUUCGACAUCAACAACCUACACGUAAAGAAAAAGAGGAAGAAAAGGAAGAUUACAACGAUGGACUUAGACCGUCGUUGGCGAAGAGCAAGCACGUGCAUGGUGAUCACGAUCGGCCGGCGACGAGGAACCGGAACGUGCCCGGACUCAACAUGUGGUACCCGUGGCGCUGUUGUUGUUGGUGGUGGCCCCUGCCGGCGAAGCGAGCGCAGCUGGGCGACGACGCGACGCCGCCCCCCUGCUCCAUCUCCCACAUCACCUCCAUGAAAUCAUCGACGGCGCAGGGCAGCUCGAGCGGGCCGGCGCAGCCGGCGAAGCCGUACUCCGUCUCGGCCUCGUCCAGCAGCGCCCGGAACAGGGGGUGGUUCGCGCACCUGGCGCGCACCGCGAACCGCUCCUUCUCCGGCCCCACGAGCACGGCGAAGUACCCCGCCGGCACGGCCCACGCCGCCGCCCUGCCAUCGGCCGCGCGUGGCGACGCCGGGGCACUGGCGCUGCCGCCACCGCCGUAG
rnacentral:rRNA from 1 species